rnacentral:tRNA from 2 species
AAAGAUUUAGUUAAACAUAUAACGUUAAUUUGUCAAGUUAAAAUAAUUGAAAAAUAAUCUUUG